rnacentral:rRNA from 1 species
CCUACGGGGUGCAGCAGUGGGGAAUAUUGGACAAUGGGCGAAAGCCUGAUCCAGCCAUGCCGCGUGUGUGAAGAAGGCCUUCGGGUCGUAAAGCACUUUCAGUGGGGAAGAAAGCCUUGGGGCUAAUACCCUCGAGGAAGGACAUCACCCACAGAAGAAGCACCGGCUAACUCCGUGCCAGCAGCCGCGGUAAUACGGAGGGUGCGAGCGUUAAUCGGAAUUACUGGGCGUAAAGCGCGCGUAGGCGGUCUGAUAAGCCGGUUGUGAAAGCCCCGGGCUCAACCUGGGAACGGCAUCCGGAACUGUCAGGCUAGAGUGCAGGAGAGGAAGGUAGAAUUCCCGGUGUAGCGGUGAAAUGCGUAGAGAUCGGGAGGAAUACCAGUGGCGAAGGCGGUCUUCUGGACUGACACUGACGCUGAGGUGCGAAAGCGUGGGUAGCAAACAGGAUUAGAUACCCCGGUAGUC